rnacentral:rRNA from 1 species
CCGGGGCUAAUACCGGAUGCUUGAUUGAACCGCAUGGUUCAAUCAUAAAAGGUGGCUUUUAGCUACCACUUGCAGAUGGACCCGCGGCGCAUUAGCUAGUUGGUGAGGUAACGGCUCACCAAGGCGACGAUGCGUAGCCGACCUGAGAGGGUGAUCGGCCACACUGGGACUGAGACACGGCCCAGACUCCAACGGGAGGCAGCAGUAGGGAAUCUUCCGCAAUGGACGAAAGUCUGACGGAGCAACGCCGCGUGAGUGAUGAAGGUUUUCGGAUCGUAAAACUCUGUUGUUAGGGAAGAACAAGUACCGUUCGAAUAGGGCGGUACCUUGACGGUACCUAACCAGAAAGCCACGGCUAACUACGUGCCAGCCGCCGCGGUAAUACGUAGGUGGCAAGCGUUGUCCGGAAUUAUUGGGCGUAAAGCGCGCGCAGGCGGUUUCUUAAGUCUGAUGUGAAAGCCCCCGGCUCAACCGGGGAGGGUCAUUGGAAACUGGGGAACUUGAGUGCAGAAGAGGAGAGUGGAAUUCCACGUGUAGCGGUGAAAUGCGUAGAGAUGUGGAGGAACACCAGUGGCGAAGGCGACUCUCUGGUCUGUAACUGACGCUGAGGCGCGAAAGCGUGGGGAGCGAACAGGAUUAGAUACCCUGGUAGUCCACGCCGUAAACGAUGAGUGCUAAGUGUUAGAGGGUUUCCGCCCUUUAGUGCUGCAGCAAACGCAUUAAGCACUCCGCCUGGGGAGUACGGUCGCAAGACUGAAACUCAAAGGAAUUGACGGGGGCCCGCACAAGCGGUGGAGCAUGUGG